GAAAUGCGAUAAGUAAUGUGAAUUGCAGAAUUCAGUGAAUCAUCGAAUCUUUGAACGCACAUUGCGCCCGCCAGUAUUCUGGCGGGCAUGCCUGUUCGAGCGUCAUUUCAACCAUCAAGCCCGGCGCUUGUGUUGGGGACCCGCGGCUGCCGCGGGCCCUGAAAGACAGUGGCGGUCUCGCUGUAGCACCGAGCGUAGUAACAUACACCUCGCUCCGGGCGCUAGGCGUGCUCCUGCCGUUAAAAAACCCCCCUUUUGCAAGGUUGACCUCGGAUCAGGUAGGAAUACCCGCUGAACUUAA
rnacentral:misc_RNA from 1 species